GAGGGGAUAGCUCAGUGUUAGAGUAUGUGCUUAGCAUGCACAAGGUCUUGGGUUCAAUCCCCAGUACUUCCA
rnacentral:tRNA from 1 species